AGAAUAGUAGUUUAAAACAAAACAUUCAUUUUGCAUAUGAAAAACGUAAAUCCUUAAAUUAUACCUAUUUUG
rnacentral:tRNA from 1 species